GCGCCUGUAGCUCAGCCUGGAUAGAGCAACGGACUUCUAAUCCGUAGGCCGCAGGUUCGAAUCCUGCCAGGCGCACCA
rnacentral:tRNA from 1 species